CCAUGGUGAAAUUGGUAGACACGCUGCUCUUAGGAAGCAGUGCUCAAGCAUCUCGGUUCGAAUCCGAGUGGCGGCA
rnacentral:tRNA from 1 species